GAGGGUAUAGCUCAGUAGUAGAGCACAUGCUUAGCAUGCACAUCCUGGGUUCAACCCCCAGUACCUCCA
rnacentral:tRNA from 1 species